AAGAAAUUAUAAAAACAGUUUGGGAGAUACUUUCUCUUGUAUUAUAGUGAGCUUGACAAGAGUAGAUAUUUUUAUUUAUUUGGUUUGUUGAAAUGUAUUUCCAAAGAUUUUUUUUUUUCAUAUUUGCAAAAUGCCAACUAUUUUUGUAAUUAUUUGAAAACGUUUUUCAUAAAUUCCGCAAAUGAAACAACGUGUGAAGCCUCGUUUAUUUAUUAAUCUUUACUUCUUGCGCUUACUAAACGAUUCAAUUUUCGUAUCAACAAUGUGCCUUAAUGUUAUUCUACAGAGUAGGAUGUUUACUCCGUGUACUGUUUUGUAUGAAAUUGAAAUCAUUUGGAAAAGAGUGAAACGACAUUUUUCUCGAUAAAAUCCGAUAUCGCACGUAGAUUAGUGCCUCAAAUCACCGUCGAGCGAGUCGUUUACCGCCCGCAAGGAGGGGGUGGUUAGUCUCAAAAUCGGCGAGCGCUCACUGCCCGACAUGGUCUGCAUGUGAGAUCGCCACACUGUCGUGUUUUAGUUUAUAGAGCAUAACAACAAAAUCCAGUCUGUCUGUCGUCGAAAUUUUACAUUCAGCUAGCAUGCUUUAUGGCAAAGGAGGAUUCAGUUUCCACGAAUAAUGCCUUUCGUUCACCUUUUCUAUCAUAGAAUCUAACAGCAAAAACCCACAUGCCCCGGUUGUUUUUUUUUAUUCCUCGCGUAAAUGAAAAGUGUUUUUUUUUGUCUGGCCCCCGAUCUAUCUUUAUUAUAUCUCAUAUGCAUGUUUCAGUAUAUCUUUGCGGGUUUUAUUAAGCGUUUAGUUACACAGUUGUAUGGUUUUAAAUCAUCCUUAAAAUUUAACUGUUUUCACUCAAUCUGCGUCCCGGGGAACAGUUGUUACCAGUCACAGACGCAGGGUCCUAUCCUCACGUGGAAUUCGUUACCAGACCAGACGGGUUUUAUUUGAAUGGGUAUUAAGAACCCGAUUCACAUUUUGUUGAUAUGAUGCACUUCUACUGAAGAAAAGCGAUUCCAGUGCUUCGACUUGUCAAGUUUAGAAUCUCGAAUCCUGCAGCCUGUCCUGAUAACGCUUCGUUUGAUGUUCAUUUCACGCAGUAGAAAUCGACAUUGUUGGAUUAAAAAUCUAAUAACAUAACUAAAUUAAUUUAAACUCUAAUUACCAAACGUUAUCAUUGCGAUUCAAUGUUUAAUAAACAAAACAUUACAAAAUGUUUGAAUUUAGAACUCUUUACUACGGGAGGUAGCAAUGUGAAUUAAAAGAUGAAACGGCUCAAUCUAGUCAUUAUCUUGUUUUAUAUAAAAGUCUAUGCUAAUUUUCCAGAUAAAAUCAAAAUAAAGGAAUCUCAUUUAAGAAAACGCGUUAUAAAUGCGGUGAUAUGCGAUCUAACAAAACCAGUUAAGAUAUUAUUUUGUUCUAUGACGAGGUUUUUGCCAUCCCCCGGAGAAGUGCUCGUCUAUCUCAGCGAUCGUGUGAAGACCCUUUUGUGGUUUAUCAGGAUUCCUGCCCUGUUCCAAGAUAGCAUUAAGUGUAAUUAAGUAUACACAUGCCGUUUAUAAACAGCGUCCAACCGCCUUUCUUAAUAAAAUCAUUUCUUAUUAAACACAAACUGUGAUAAACAAUAUUCUACAGUAUCUAUGUUUACCGUGGGUUUAUUCCGACUGCAAACGAAAUGCAAAGGCUACCAUUUGCGAUUUUGAUUUUAUAGGAUGAACAAGAAACAAUAUUUUCUAGUCAGUCUCAAAGGGGGAUCACACUUUACCUGACACCUAUGUACAUGUUUCAGCAGGUAUUGUUUAUUCAGGUGAUCCCCCUUAAUGGUUUGUUAUACAUUUUACUUAACAAUUUACCUUAUGUCAUUCAAUAAAUGACAUAUUCGACAAAACUGCAUUACAGUGUUUGGUUAUUUGUUACUGCUUGGACGGUUUCUUCUCAUAGGAGGCAUAUAUAUUAUUUUGUAGCGAAUAGUUCCCGGUAUGAUGAAUAUUUAUCAUGCAUAAAAUAAUUAUUAUUGGAAUUUUUAGAUAUGGAUUACCUUAUAAUUAUAUAUUACCUUUCACACAUUGUAGGCGUUUUCAUGGACACAAUAGGUGAUGAUGGCAGUGUGCUUGUGCCUUAUCAAUUUGAUUUUAUUGUCAAACUGCAAAUUUAUUAAAGAGAAUUAUUUUAUAUUACAGAACAUUAGCUAAAAUUACAAUUCAAUCAUUACUAAAACAAAGUAUCGGGCAUAAAAUAGAAAAAUAUUAACCAGAAGCGUGAGAAAUUAACUGUAUCUUUUUAAAAAUUGGGCCUAGAUUGUUUGUUUUAUACAAUAUGUUUUAUAUAAAUUGUGUUUUGUUUUAUACAAUAUGUGUUUGUUUUAUACAAUAUGUGUUUGUUUUAUAUAAUAUGUGUUUGUUUUAUAUAAUAUGUGUUUGUUUUAUACAAUAUGUGUUUGUUUUAUACAAUAUGUGUUUGUUUUAUAUAAUAUGUGUUUGUUUUAUUUAAUAUGUGUUUGUUUUAUACAAUAUGUGUUUGUUUUAUACAGUAUGUGUUCGGAUUGGUCUCCCGGUAUUUUUAAACGAUGCUUGAAUUUCUUCAUUUCAAAUAAAUGACAAUUAUGAAAACACAAA